rnacentral:tRNA from 1 species
GGAGGUAUAGCUCUAGGUUAGAGCACUGCCUAGUAUGCACAAGGCCCUGGGUUCAAUCCCCAGCACCACACA